CGUGACAGGAACAAGAUGUCUGCUUUUGAGAAAGAUUUGUUGAAGAAAAAAUUUGGUUUACCUUCUAAACCCCCUGUUGGGCCAAGUGCAAAUCAAAGUAGGAGAACUCAGAUAAAGAAAAGAGAUUAUACACCUGUUUAUUGGGAUAAAUAUUUUGAAUCUAAGCAUGAUGUUAAAACAGAUAAAAAUGAUAUAUUUAGAGUUUAUGAAUGUGGUACGACAGGACCCGUUCUUGUGUUUCUACAUGGUGGAGGAUUUUCAGGAUUAUCAUGGGCACUUUUAUCAUCGGUAGUAUCUGAUCUGGUUACCUGUAGAUGUGCCGCUAUAGAUUUACGUGGUCAUGGUGACAGUUCGACAUCCAAUGACAGUGACUUAAGUGCAGAUACAAUGGCUAAUGAUGUUGGUGAUGUUGUUAAAAGUUUAUAUGGUGAAGAUCUUCCUCCAAUCAUUUUAAUAGGUCACAGUAUGGGAGGAUCUAUAGCUGUAAAUGUAGCUGAUAAACAUCUAAUCCCAUCUUUAAUUGGUUUAUGUGUUAUAGACGUUGUUGAAGGUUCAGCAAUGGAUGCUUUAUCGGGCAUGCAGAGUUUUUUACGUGGUCGACCAAAAAUGUUUCAAUCAUUAGACAAUGUUAUUGAAUGGGCAGUAAGAAGCGGACAGAUCCGUAAUGUUGAUUCUGCCAGAGUAUCAAUGGUGGGACAGGUUAAAAGGGUAGACAAUGAUGAAACCGCCUCGGCAGAAUUAGAACAUGAACAUGAACAUGAUCAUGAUCUUCAGACGCCAUCAUUACCUACAGAUACCAUAGAAGAAGAGCCAGAUGAGAUAGCUACACCCAGCAGCCAAUCAACUUCCUCUAAGGGAAACAACCCAGAUUUUAAAAUACCUACUUCAUCAAAUUGUAAAAAUCAGUACACAUGGAGAAUAGAUUUAGCUAAUACAGAUAUGUAUUGGAAAGAUUGGUUUCAAGGUCUGUCACAGAAAUUUUUAUCGUGUGAAGUACCAAAGAUGUUAAUAUUAGCAGGUGUAGAUAGAUUAGAUAAAGAUUUAACUAUAGGUCAGAUGCAAGGUAAAUUCCAGAUGCAAGUUUUACCACAAUGUGGUCAUGCUGUACAUGAAGAUAACCCUGAUAAGGUAGCUGAAGUAUUAGCCACAUUUAUGAUUCGUCAAAAAGUUGCCGAACCAACUGCUAAUUUCCAGCCGUAGGUAUUUUGAUGUUACUAUUUUGAGAAAUUGUCCGGUUUAAAGUACUUGAGAACUGUUGAAUAAUUCAGAAUGUUUCCUGCCUGUUAAGAAGAAAAACAAAAAUAAUCAGAAUAUCCGGCCUAUGAUAAUCAAUUGAAAACAUCGUCAUCGUAGAGAAAGUUUUUUUUCAUUUUUAACUGCUGUUAAAAGGAGAUCUUGAAGUUGAUUAGUUGAUGUAUAAGCAUACAUCAAGAAAUGAAUGUAAACGUUUUAUGUGUUUAUCAAAUUAAUAGAAUCACAUUUAUAAAUUAUGGACGUUUAAAUUAUAGACUGUAGAAAUGGUCAUUAUUUUGUUUAUGUAGUUAGUACAGUAUGAAAUAUGACUACCCAGGCUUUAGCUAUAUAGAUUAUUAUGUUAUUGUGUUUUGAUCGUCUUUUGACGGAUUUAAAAUGCUGUUAAAACUGUCAUAAUGUGAAAGUGAAACUAUAAAAGGAAUAUCAGUCCAAAAAUUGUAAAAUUUAAUUCGGUAUUUACAAAUAUAUGAUAAGUGAAAAUUUCCCGAAAUUCAGCAUCUUCUGUGGACGAUAUUAAGAAGACAGCACCACCUAUAAGUAUUGGUUAAAAUCUUUGGAUGGGCCCCCUUUCUAAUCCAAUUUAAUCCAAGCCAGAAAAUGAUUGUUAAUUAAAUGAUAUUUGAAUAGAUUUUAGCAUGGCUUUUUGGGUGGGGGGUCCCUUCUGCCAUGGAACAAUUAGAUGACCUAUGUUCAAAUGAAGGUAAUGAAAAUAAAAUACCUCAAUUUAAUUUAAGCUAGAAUGUAGAAAUAUUGCUGGUAUUUUGGUCUGACAAUGAAGUCGGCUGAUCCUAAUCUGUCAUGGAACAAUUAGAUGACCUAUGUUCAAAUGAAGGUAAUGAAAAUAAAAUACCUCAAUUUAAUUUAAGCUAGAAUGUAGAAAUAUUGCUGGUAUUUUGGUCUGACAAUGAAGUCGGCUGAUCCUAAUCUGUCAUCUUUGAUAACUAAAGGGAGAUAAUCUCAUUUACCAUGGUUCUUUGGGACUCGGCAAAACUGGAACCCCUGCCAUAAAAUCCUGAUUGCUCUUACAAUUAUCUGUUGAUAAAGUCAGAUACAUCACAGUCAGAUGGCCAGAGAUCAUCUAGAUUCUACCGAUUCCAUAUGAACCGUGGAUCUGAACAAAUAUUGUCAUGAAUGUAUUUUUCGAGAACAAGCUUUGUUGUAAGAAACAAAUAAAUGUAAAUUGUACAUAAUAAAUAAUUUUAUGUCAAGACUACUUUUCAGAAGGCAUUUUUUCUAGAGGGGAGUUGGGCCACUGAGUCACGGUUUCGAUCCCAAGUCUGUACAAGAGAAGGAUUAGGGUUCCCUGCCGAACAUCGUAGGUUUUCUCCGGCUCAUCGGAUUUCCUCCAAUUGCUAAAGAUGUCUAUGUACAAGACCUAAACAUUUCUUGGUACUCUAAAAUAGUCAGAACUGUGGGUGGGACUUAAAGGUCACUAGUACCCCCGUAUUUAUAUGAAAAUGGGGUUUUGACUAAGAACAAACUUCAAGUGUAAAAUUUAAUAAAUUUGCAAGCACAAGUGAAAGAGUUUUUUUUAUUGAUAACCUGUUGCAAAUUAAAUUAAAGAUACAUUAUGGGAGAUU